rnacentral:lncRNA from 1 species
CAGCCUACCUGCCCUCAGUGGGCUGGGCCCUAACACAUCAAUUAGCAGUCAAAAAAAAAUGCGCUAUAGACAUGCCUACAGGCAAAUCUGAUUGAGGCAAUCCUUUAAUAGAUAGAAUAUCUCUCCAGAUGUGUAAAACCAAGAUUAGACACCACAGUAUAAUUUGGGGAAAUGCUGCAAUGCUGCAAUCUUUUUUUUUUUUUUUUUAUUUUCCAAGACAGGGUUUCUCUGUGUAGCUUUGGAGCCUGACCUGGUGUAGGGAGCCGGUUCCUGCAUUAUCCAUUACAAUAAUGGUGCCUGAAGACACCAAGAUGUAAAUUAUUUCAUAGGCGCUGGGUAAUCUCCAUUCCUUUGAUCUCUGCCUAUCCCGUGGCUCAUUUGGCCUGAGGAGCUAAAGCCAUUCAUAGGAAGGAUCCGAGUGUCCUGCGUGUAUUUCUUGCUGGCGAGAAAAUACAGCACGCGAGGGACAUCUGGUGCCGAAACCCGGGAAGCUUAACAUCUCCGGCACCGCGGAGAACCCUUGGCUACAAGGCGGAUUCAGAACUGCAGGGUGGUAAAUUCGGAGAGGAUGAAGAAAAUCCCCUGUGGAUCCCAGAAAGACUCACCCGAAGAGCCUCUUCGGACCUUCAAAAGUCGGAACUCCACCCUCUCCCCGGGAGUUGAGAGCCGCUAUUGUUAUCCAGAUUAACUCCUGUCCUUGGCGGAGAGAUUGUA